rnacentral:rRNA from 1 species
GACAGAGGUGCCAAGCGUUAGGCGGAAUCACUGGGCUUAAAGCGUGUGUAGGUGGAUGCCUAAGUACCUUGUGAAAUCCCACGGCUCAACCGUGGAACUGCUCGGUAUACUGGGUGUCUUGAGCCACUUAGGGGCUACCGGAACAAAUGGUGGAGCGGUGAAAUGCGUAGAUAUCAUUUGGAACGCCAAUGGUGAAAACAGGUAGCUGGGAGUGUGCUGACACUGAGACACGAAAGCCAGGGGAGCGAACGGGA